rnacentral:rRNA from 1 species
UACGGAGGGUGCGAGCGUUAUCCGGAAUUACUGGGUUUAAAGGGUGUGUAGGCGGCUUUGUAAGUCAGGAGUGAAAGUUUGCGGCUCAACCGUAAAAUUGCUUUUGAUACUGCAGAGCUAGAAUCAGGAUGAGGUUAGCGGAAUGUGGCAUGUAGCGGUGAAAUGCAUAGAUAUGCCAUAGAACACCAAUUGCGAAGGCUGCUGGCUAGACCUGCAUUGACGCUGAGUCACGAAAGCGUGGGGAGCGAACAGG